CAGCAGUACAUGACGAAUUCAUACCACCUGCUGAAACUAUUGCAUCAGGAGGUAGAACAUUAUGCCUUGUAAACACAUCUACACGCCGUGGGGACCACUCAUCCUUCUGUUCCCGGUGUCCAAACCUUCCAUAACCACCAAAGCCCCAGCUGCAACAAAUUACACAAACCAUAAGGAACCACAAGAAGUACAAGAAAUAGAAAUUAUAUCAAAAAGAUUAAACACAAAACAGCACAUUGGAGAGACUCACGUGUAAACAUAGCCAUUGGAGUCCACAGCCACUGUUUCACACAAUAGUGUGUAAGUAAAUAUCAAUACAGCAAAUCUAGAGUAAGGACCAAAUGAGGAAAGCAAGUAAACCUGUGUGGUUGGUCCCGCAAGCAACUUUAACAAUGGUUUCUGCAGAGAAGGAAGCUAUUGCUUUUGGACGCGGUUGAGGCUCAUAAGCAAGUCUUACAGAACUAUCUUUCGUAUUGUACUGAAAGGACAAGUUCCAAAAACAUUAGACCUAGAAAAGAAGCAACACAAAUUAAGGAGCCCUGAGCGCUAUACACAACUGCACUACACAAAACCAGCAAUAGUUAAAUAAUUUGAUACCGAAAGACACUGCAAAAACAAAUGCAUAUUCCCAAAUCUUAUGCACACAGAUGAUCAAAGAUACAAGAAUUUAACCAGCAACAAGUAC